rnacentral:rRNA from 1 species
AAGGCCAUAUGGCGACAUAGAGCGGAACCCGAAAAACCCUGUCUCAGUUCGGAUUGGAGUCUGCAACCCGACUCCAUGAAGCUGGAUUCGCUAGUAAUCGCGCAUCAGCCACGGCGCGGUGAAUACGUUCCCGGGCCUUGUACACACCGCCCGUCAAGCCAUGGAAGCCGGGAGUGCCUGAAGUGCGUGAGCGCAAGCAGCGCCCUAAGGUAAAACCGGUGACUGGGGCUAAGUCGUAACAAGGUAAC